rnacentral:rRNA from 1 species
UAGGGAAUCUUCGGCAAUGGACGAAAGUCUGACCGAGCAACGCCGCGUGAGUGAAGAAGGUUUUCGGAUCGUAAAACUCUGUUGUUAGAGAAGAACAAGGAUGAGAAGAGAAUGUUCAUCCCUUGACGGUAUCUAACCAGAAAGCCACGGCUAAUCUACGUGCCAGCAGCCGCGGUAAUACGUAGGUGGCAAGCGUUGUCCGGAUUUAUUGGGCGUAAAGCGAGCGCAGGCGGUUCUUUAAGUCUGAUGUGAAAGCCCCCGG